AUUAUGUAUUUUACUUGGAACUCAACAAGACUAGAUAAUUUCAAGAUUCGAAAUUUGAUUGUUAACUAAUUUAACUAAUUUAAAUAGCUCUUGAAACUCCAUAGGUAAUGGAACUUUUACAGAACAAAUCCUCCCAAAUCUCAGAGAAAGCCUCAACAAUAACCCCAUGAUAAUGCCUAGAAUUCAAAGACAAGAAACACUGCAAAAGUUGCUCCAAAUCAGUCACUUCAAACAUUUGCUUCUCCAAUAUCAUCUCCAUCAUCGAUCUCUUGAAGUCCUCGUACGGGUCCUCCGAUUUCUUCACCACUGCGAAGCUCUCCCUUACCUUUCCCUCCACCGUGCAGGGUAUCAGCCACUGAAACCUCGACAAUCUGGCCGGAGAUGACUGUGACUCGUCACAACUCUUUCUCGCUUUCCUGUUAACGUAUCUUUUUGCCUUCUUAACCUUUUUCUUGCGAUGACUGAUCCUGUUAAAGGGUGAUUCACGUAUGGUUUCCAAAUGGGCACGGAACUCCGGCGAAGAAUAAUCAGUAGAGAAGCUUCUGGUUGAUGAUACUAACGUUUCCGUUUCCUCAUUGUCUAUAUCAAUUUCUUCUUCAUCAUCAUCUAAACCUUCACUGCUGAAAAGUCCGCUAUCAGCCGAGGAACUGCUGAUGCGGAUUCUUGGUGUUGUUUUCUUCUUCUUUUUAAUCCGUCGUCUUUUCCGCUCCGUGUUGGGCGGAGGAGGUGGAGGAAGAAAAAUGUUAUCGUUUUCAAAGUCACAGGAAACCAAAGAGUUAGAAAUUUUCCGACGAGGAGUUUCGUCGUACAUUUUGGCCACAACGUGCCAUUUCUCUUCUCUUUCCCAUUGGAACUCAGGCGGAGGAGGAGGAGGAGGUGGUGG
rnacentral:misc_RNA from 1 species